rnacentral:rRNA from 1 species
GAUCAAGUGUCUUAAGGGCAAUUGGUGGAUGCCUUGGCAUGCACAGGCGAUGAAGGACGUGAUACGCUGCGAUAAGCUACGGGGAGGUGCGAAUACCCUUUGAUCCGUAGAUUUCCGAAUGGGGAAACCCACCUAAGGUACUUGGAAAAUCAGAGCAGCCAGAAGGUCGCAAGGCUGACUUGCUGCUGUGGUUUCCAAGUAUCGAUAAUAGGUAACUUACCCUGAAUACAUAGGGGUAAAGUGGCGAACGCGGGGAACUGAAACAUCUAAGUACCCGUAGGAAAGGACAUCAACCGAGACUCCGGAAGUAGUGGCGAGCGAACCCGGACCAGGCCAGUGGCGAUUGAGAGACAAGCGGAACCUUCUGGAAAGUAGGGCCAUAGUGGGUGACAGCCCCGUACGCGUAAUGCAAUCAAUCGUCCUCGAGUAAGGCGGGACACGUGAAAUCCUGUCUGAAAUUGGGGGGACCACCCUCCAAGCCUAAGUACUCGUGCAUGACCGAUAGCGAACUAGUACCGUGAGGGAAAGGUGAAAAGCACCCCGACAAGGGGAGUGAAAGAGUACCUGAAACCGAUUGCCUACAAACAGUGGAAGCCCAAGGUUCGUCCUGGGUGACCACGUACCUUUUGUAUAAUGGGUCAGCGACUUAGUGUGACGAGCAAGCUUAAACCGCUAGGUGUAGGCGCAGCGAAAGCGAGUCUGAAUAGGGCGUUCAGUUCGUCGCAUUAGACCCGAAACCGAGUGAUCUAGCCAUGAGCAGGUUGAAGGUAAGGUAACACUUACUGGAGGACCGAACCCAUAACUGUUGCAAUAGUUCGGGAUGACUUGUGGCUAGGGGUGAAAGGCCAAUCAAACUCGGAAAUAGCUGGUUCUCCGCGAAAUCUAUUUAGGUAGAGCGUCGACCGAAUACCCCAGGGGGUAGAGCACUGGAUGGGCUAGGGGUCCUCACCGGAUUACCAAACCUAACCAAACUCCGAAUACCUGGGAGUACUAGUCGGCAGACACACGGCGGGUGCUAACGUCCGUCGUGAAAAGGGAAACAACCCUGACCUACAGCUAAGGUCCCCAAGUUAUGGCUAAGUGGGAAAGGAUGUGAGGAUCCCAAAACAACCAGGAUGUUGGCUUAGAAGCAGCCAUCAUUUAAAGAAAGCGUAACAGCUCACUGGUCUAAAUAAGGGUCUUUGCGCCGAAAAUGUAACGGGGCUAAAGCCAUACACCGAAGCUUAGGGUUUGGUCCGCAAGGGCCAAGCGGUAGCGGAGCGUUCUGUAAGCUGAUGAAGCCAUACCCGUGAGGGGUGGUGGAGGUAUCAGAAGUGCGAAUGCUGACAUGAGUAACGUAAGGGGAGUGAGAGACUNGAAGCCAUACCCGUGAGGGGUGGUGGAGGUAUCAGAAGUGCGAAUGCUGACAUGAGUAACGUAAGGGGAGUGAGAGACUCCCCCGCCGAAAGACCAAGGGUUCCUGCUUAAAGCUAAUCUGAGCAGGGUUAGCCGGCCCCUAAGACGAGGCGGAAACGCGUAGUCGAUGGGAACCACGUUAAUAUUCGUGGGCUUGGAGGUAGUGACGGAUCAUUGAGGUAGUCCAAUCUUAUCGGAUUGAACGGGCUGCUGCGUGGUUCCAGGAAAUAGCUCCUCCUUAUAAACCGUACCCGAAACCGACACUGGUGGUCUGGUAGAGUAUACCAAGGCGCUUGAGAGAACUAUGCUGAAGGAACUCGGCAAAUUGCACGCGUAACUUCGGAAGAAGCGUGACCCUUUUCUACGCAAGUAGAGGAGGGUGGCACAGACCAGGGGGUAGCGACUGUUUAUCAAAAACACAGGGCUCUGCGAAGUCGCAAGACGACGUAUAGGGUCUGACGCCUGCCCGGUGCUGGAAGGUUAAGAGGAGGGGUGCAAGCUCUGAAUCGAAGCCCCAGUAAACGGCGGCCGUAACUAUAACGGUCCUAAGGUAGCGAAAUUCCUUGUCGGGUAAGUUCCGACCUGCACGAAUGGCGUAACGACUUCCCCGCUGUCUCCAGCAUAGACUCAGUGAAAUUGAAUUCCCCGUGAAGAUGCGGGGUUCCUGCGGUUAGACGGAAAGACCCCGUGCACCUUUACUAUAGCUUUACAUUGGCAUUCGUAGUGGCAUGUGUAGGAUAGGUGGUAGGCUUUGAAACCUGGGCGCCAGCUCAGGUGGAGCCACCCUUGAAAUACCACCCUUAUUACUAUGGAUGUCUAACCGCGGCCCGUUAUCCGGGUCCGGGACAAUGUAUGGUGGGUAGUUUGACUGGGGCGGUCGCCUCCUAAAGAGUAACGGAGGCGCGCGAUGGUGGGCUCAGAACGGUCGGAAAUCGUUCGCUGAGUGCAAUGGCAUAAGCCUGCCUGACUGCGAGACUGACAAGUCGAGCAGAGACGAAAGUCGGUCAUAGUGAUCCGGUGGUCCCGCGUGGAAGGGCCAUCGCUCAACGGAUAAAAGGUACGCCGGGGAUAACAGGCUGAUGACCCCCAAGAGUCCAUAUCGACGGGGUUGUUUGGCACCUCGAUGUCGACUCAUCGCAUCCUGGGGCUGGAGCAGGUCCCAAGGGUAUGGCUGUUCGCCAUUUAAAGCGGUACGUGAGUUGGGUUCAGAACGUCGUGAGACAGUUCGGUCCCUAUCUGCCGUGGGUGUAGGAAUAUUGAAAGGAUCUGUCCCUAGUACGAGAGGACCGGGAUGGACGGAUCUCUGGUGGACCUGUUGUGGCGCCAGCCGCAUAGCAGGGUAGCUAUAUCCGGACGGGAUAACCGCUGAAGGCAUCUAAGCGGGAAACCCACCUUAAAACGAGUAUUCCCUGAGAACCGUGGAAGACGACCACGUUGAUAGGCCGGGUGUGGAAGAGCGGCAACGCUUGAAGCUUACCGGUACUAAUAGUUCGAUCGGCUUGAUCGUUCUCAUU